rnacentral:rRNA from 1 species
UGAGGAAUAUUGGGCAAUGCCCGCAAGGGUGACCCAGCAACGCCGCGUGGAGGAUGAAUGUCGUAAGAUUGUAAACUCCUGUUAGAGGGGAAGAAUAGUACCGGUUGGACCGGUAUAUGACUGUACCCUCAGAGAAAGCCCCGGCUAACUACGUGCCAGCAGCCGCGGUAAUACGUAGGGGGCAAGCGUUGUCCGGAUUUACUGGGUGUAAAGGGCGCGCAGGCGGGAUAAAAAGUCAGUGGUGAAAUCCUACAGCUUAACUGUAGAACUGCCUUUGAUACGUUUAUUCGUGAGUUCGGGAGAGAGAGACGGAAUUCCAGGUGUAGUGGUGAAAUACGUAGAUAUCUGGAAGAACACCAGUUGCGAAGGCGGUCUCUUGGUCCGACACUGACGCUGAGGCGCGAAAGCGUGGGGA